GAUAUAUUUGGAAAAUCUAGAGUUUUCUUCAUUUUUCUUCAUCUUCUCCAGUAAAAACAUCAUUGAAGGGUUCUUUUAAGCUGGUCUCUCAUAUUUUUAUUACAUAUUGACUUAUAUAUAUACGGAGGAUCGGAUCUACAUCAAGGAUCACAUUAUCCAGAUUUACUCCGGUAGAUUUUGUUAAACAACUUUUUGAUUUAUAUGGCAUGUAUAAGGGUUGAUUUGAUAAUGUAAUUGUAUGAAUGAUUAAGUAUGCAUAGUAAGUUGAAUGUGAUGUUUUGUGUUGGAAAAUGAAAUAUACAUGUUAUGGCUUGAAAUAAUUGAUUAGUUGGACUCUAUUAGUGUAUAA